CUAAAACUCAAAGGAAUUGACGGGGGCCCGCACAAGCAGCGGAGCAUGCGGCUUAAUUCGACGCAACGCGAAGAACCUUACCAAGGCUUGAGCAGGGUAGCGAAAAGUGGCAGAGAUGUCAUGUCCGCAAGGGCGCUAUACAGGUGGUGCAUGGUUGUCGUCAGCAACGUGUCGUAAAGAUGUUGGGUUAAGUCCCGCAACGAGCGCAACCCUCGUUCUGUGUUGCCAGCAUUUAGUUGGGGACUCACAGGAGACUGCCGGGGUCAACUCGGAGGAAGGUGGGGAUGACGUCAAAUCAUCAUGCCCCUUAUGUCUUGGGCUGCACGCAUGCUACAAUGGCUGGUACAAAGGGCUGCGAAACCGUAAGGUGGAGCGAAUCCCAAAAAGCCAGUCUCAGUUCGGAUUGGGGUCUGCAACUCGACCCCAUGAAGUCGGAGUUGCUAGUAAUCGCAGAUCAGCAACGCUGCGGUGAAUACGUUCCCGGGCCUUGUACACACCGCCCGUCACAUCACGAAAGCCGGU
rnacentral:rRNA from 1 species